rnacentral:rRNA from 1 species
GAUGAACGCUGGCGGCGUGCCUAAUACAUGCAAGUCGAGCGAACAGACGAGGAGCUUGCUCCUCUGACGUUAGCGGCGGACGGGUGAGUAACACGUGGAUAACCUACCUAUAAGACUGGGAUAACUUCGGGAAACCGGAGCUAAUACCGGAUAAUAUAUUGAACCGCAUGGUUCAAUAGUGAAAGACGGUUUUGCUGUCACUUAUAGAUGGAUCCGCGCCGCAUUAGCUAGUUGGUAAGGUAACGGCUUACCAAGGCAACGAUGCGUAGCCGACCUGAGAGGGUGAUCGGCCACACUGGGACUGAGACACGGUCCAGACUCCUACGGGAGGCAGCAGUAGGGAAUCUUCCGCAAUGGGCGAAAGCCUGACGGAGCAACGCCGCGUGAGUGAUGAAGGUCUUCGGAUCGUAAAACUCUGUUAUUAGGGAACAACAAAUGUGUAAGUAACUAUGCACGUCUUGACGGUACCUAAUCAGAAAGCCACGGCUAACUACGUG